rnacentral:rRNA from 1 species
CCUACGGGAGGCAGCAGUGAGGAAUAUUGGUCAAUGGGCGCGAGCCUGAACCAGCCAAGUAGCGUGAAGGAUGACUGCCCUACGGGUUGUAAACUUCUUUUAUAAAGGAAUAAAGUGAGGCACGUGUGCCUUUUUGUAUGUACUUUAUGAAUAAGGAUCGGCUAACUCCGUGCCAGCAGCCGCGGUAAUACGGAGGUUCCGAGCGUUACCCGGAUUUAUUGGGUUUAAAGGGAGCGUAGAUGGGUUGUUAAGUCAGUUGUGAAAGUUUGCGGCUCAACCGUAAAAUUGCAAUUGAUACUGGCAGUCUUGAGUACAGUUGAGGUAGGCGGAAUUCGUGGUGUAGCGGUGAAAUGCUUAGAUAUCGAGAGGAACACUGGUGGCGAAGGCAGGUUCCUGGACAUUAACUGACGCUGAGGCACGAAGGCGAGGGGAGCGAAAGGGAUUAGAUACCCCAGUAGUC